GGAGAUGCUGGAAGUCCUGCCCCUCAAAGCCCGAAUGAAUCACCCGAGACUCUCAUAGACGGUAUGCUCGAUAUCAUAGCAGAAAACGAAGGGAUCGAUGGAGAGAACAACCAUCUUGGUGAUCACGGGCACCUUAUCGACGCCGACAUCUAUGAAGAGAUAGAAGGACUUGAAGAAGAUGAAACAAGAAGGGU